AUUGAACGCUGGCGGCAUGCUUUACACAUGCAAGUCGAACGGUAACAGGGACUUCGGUCUGCUGACGAGUGGCGAACGGGUGAGUAACAUAUCGGAACGUGCCCAGUAAUGGGGGAGUAGCUCGGCGAAAGACCGGAUUAAUACCGCAUACGCCCUCGAGGGGGAAAGGUGGGGGAGUCUUCGGACCUCACGUUAUUGGAGCGGCCGAUAUCAGAUUAGCUAGUUGGUGGGGUAAAGGCCGUACCAAGGCGACGAUCUGUAGCUGGUCUGAGAGGAUGAUCAGCCACACUGGGACUGAGACACGGCCCAGACUCCUACGGGAGGCAGCAGUGGGGAAUUUUGGACAAUGGGCGAAAGCCUGAUCCAGCCAUGCCGCGUGAGUGAAGAAGG
rnacentral:rRNA from 1 species